GCACAAGUGGCCGAGUGGUUAAGGCGGUAGCCUAGAAAGCUAUUGGGAUUCAUCCCGCGCAGGUUCGAAUCCUGCCUUGUGCG